rnacentral:rRNA from 1 species
AGUGAACGCUGGCGGUAGGCCUAACACAUGCAAGUCGAACGGCAGCACAGUAAGAGCUUGCUCUUACGGGUGGCGAGUGGCGGACGGGUGAGGAAUACAUCGGAAUCUACUUUUUCGUGGGGGAUAACGUAGGGAAACUUACGCUAAUACCGCAUACGACCUACGGGUGAAAGCAGGGGAUCUUCGGACCUUGCGCGAUUGAAUGAGCCGAUGUCGGAUUAGCUAGUUGGCGGGGUAAAGGCCCACCAAGGCGACGAUCCGUAGCUGGUCUGAGAGGAUGAUCAGCGACACUGGAACUGAGACACGGUCCAGACGCCUACGGGAGGCAGCAGUGGGGAAUAUGGGACAAUGGGCGCAAGCCUGAUCCAGCCAUACCGCGUGGGUGAAGAAGGCCUUCGGGUUGUAAAGCCCUUUUGUUGGGAAAGAAAAGCAGCAGGUUAAUACCCCGCUGUUCUGACGGUACCCAAAGAAUAAGCACCGGCUAACUUCGUG